UACGUAGGGCGCAAGCGUUAUCCGGAAUUAUUGGGCGUAAAGAGCUCGUAGGCGGCUUGUCACGUCGGGUGUGAAAACUUGGGGCUCAACCCCAAGCCUGCGGUCGAUACGGGCAGGCUCGAGUUCGGUAGGGGAGACUGGAAUUCCUGGUGUAGCGGUGAAAUGCGUAGAUAUCGAGAGGAACACCUGCGGCGAAGGCGGGUUGCUGGGCCGACACUGACGCUGAAGUGCGAAAGCUAGGGGAGCGAACGGG
rnacentral:rRNA from 1 species